rnacentral:rRNA from 1 species
CACGUAGGGGGCAAGCGUUGUCCGGAAUCAUUGGGCGUAAAGAGCUCGUAGGCGGCUCAGUAAGUCGGGUGUGAAACCCUCAGGCUCAACCUGGGGACGCCACCCGAUACUGCUGUGGCUAGAGUCCAGUAGGGGAGUGUGGAAUUCCCGGUGUAGCGGUGAAAUGCGCAGAUAUCGGGAGGAACACCAGCGGCGAAGGCGGCACUCUGGGCUGGUACUGACGCUGAGGAGCGAAAGCGUGGGGAGCGAACGAGG